AGAGUUUGAUCAUGGCUCAGAACGAACGCUGGCGGCAGGCCUAACACAUGCAAGUCGAACGCAUCGCAAGAUGAGUGGCAGACGGGUGAGUAACACGUGGGAACAUUCCUUUUAGUACGGAAUAGCCCAGCGAAAGCUGGAUUAAUACCGUAUACGCCCUAUGGGGGAAAGAUUUAUCGCUAAAAGAUUGGCCCGCGUUAGAUUAGCUAGUUGGUAAGGUAAUGGCUUACCAAGGCUACGAUCUAUAGCUGGUUUGAGAGAAUGAUCAGCCACACUGGAACUGAGACACGGUCCAGACUCCUACGGGAGGUAGCAGUGGGGAAUAUUGGACAAUGGGCGCAAGCCUGAUCCAGCCAUGCCGCGUGAAUGAUGAAGGCCUUCGGGUUGUAAAGUUCUUUUAGUAGGGAAAAUAAUGAUGGUACCUACAGAAAAAGCUCCGGCUAACUUCGUGCCAGCAGCCGCGGUAAUACGAAGGGGGCUAGCGUUGUUCGGAAUUACUGGGCGUAAAGCGUUUGUAGGCGGUUAACCAAGUCAGUGGUGAAAUCCCGAGGCUCAACCUCGGAAUUGCCAUUGAAACUGGAUAGCUAGAGAGUGUUAGAGGUUAGUGGAAUUCCUAGUGUAGGAGUGAAAUCCGUAGAGAUUAGGAGGAAUAUCGAUGGCGAAGGCAGCUAACUGGGACAUUUCUGACGCUGAGAAACGAAAGCGUGGGUAGCAAACAGGAUUAGAUACCCUAGUAGUCC
rnacentral:rRNA from 1 species